UACGGAGGGAGCUAGCGUUGUUCGGAAAUACUGGGCGUAAAGCGCACGUAGGCGGCGCAGCAAGUCAGGGGUGAAAUCCCGGGGCUCAACCCCGGAACUGCCCUUGAAACUGCAGUGCUAGAAUUCUGGAGAGGCGAGUGGAAUUCCGAGUGUAGAGGUGAAAUUCGUAGAUACUCGGAAGAACACCAGUGGCGAAGGCGACUCGCUGGACAGACAUUGACGCUGAGGUGCGAAAGCGUGGGGAGCAAACAGG
rnacentral:rRNA from 1 species